AAACCUCGAUGUCCAGGCACAAGCGCCAGACUCUUCCGGAGCCAGCAGUCAUAGCCCCGGGCAAGGCCACACCUCCUGCGAUCCUGGCGGACAUGCCUUUACUAAGUGGAGCUGCAAAAGCUGCCAGGCUUGGCUCAAGCUCACAGACUUGAAUGCCCCAAACCCCAACUCCAGGUGACCAUCGAAGUGGUGGAGGACCCCCAGGCCGAGGUGGAGGUGGACCUGCUGGCUGAGCCCAGCAUUCGCUGGCCCCUGGGCGCUCCUAGGUGGCUGCCCACCAAAGACCUCUUCUAGCCCCUCUUCUGGGGCUACCCGGAGGGCGAAGAGGGGGCCACUGGCCUCAAGGGUGGAGCCCCAGGGGAACAGGAAGAGAGGGAAGGAGGAGAGGAGCAGCAUCUUGCAGAGCACAGGGAGCCUGAGGACCAGAAGGGCAAUGAAGAUGAAGAGGAGCAGAAGGCGCCAUGGUCCAGUGGGGCCACAGACGGCUGGGACAAGGGCUGGCUGGGACCCGGGGAUUGGGCCUUCAAGGAGCCAGACAGCUGUGAAAAAGACGUAACAACACAGAUUAUUCAGGUGCAUGCCUGUAAUCCCAAGACUCAGGAGGCUGAGGCUGGAGGAUCGCUGUGAGUUUGAGGUCAGCCUGUGCUGCAAAGCAAGUUCAAGGCCAGCCUGAACUGUACAACAAAACCUUGUCUCAAAAAAAACAAAAGAGAGAGACAGAGACAGAGACAGAAUAAAGGAAAAGAAAAAAACACAAAAUACUCCCCAAGGCCCGUCGGUCUUCCACAGAGGCAAGUUUUGUCCUACUGUGAAGGGUCUGAUUUGGCCCAGAUGCAGCCAUGUUUUGCACACUUUCCCUGAACUUUGCAUUCGUGUCUUUGGACUGAGGUGCCUGUGAUUAAGAACAAGUUGUGACAAGUUCUUCCUAGUUUUCCAACAUAAUGCAAAGAAUUUUCACGACAUUCAGUUUGCCUCCCAUUCAUUUUCCUAAGCUUGGUGCCCAUAUGCUGUGGUCAGCCUGGAAACUGGGGGCGAGCCAGGACAUCAGCCCUUUGGGGUCCACUAAUGGCCCUGCUCAGUCUGAGAGCUGAGGGCCCAGGUGCAGUGUAUUUGAGUCUCCUCACAUAGGACUAGGUCCCUAACAUAGGCAACAGAGAUACUCAUAAGCCCAGUGCCAGAGAAGUAUUGUCACCCCAUGUUU